GACGGAGGAUGCAAGCGUUAUCCGGAAUUAUUGGGCGUAAAGCGUCCGCAGGUGGCUGUUCAAGUCUGCUGUCAAAGCGCAGAGCUUAACUCUGUACAGGCGGUGGAAACUGAAGAGCUAGAGUAUGGUAGGGGUAGAGGGAAUUCCCGGUGUAGCGGCGAAAUGCGUAGAUAUCGGGAAGAACACCAGUGGCGAAAGCGCUCUACUGGGCCAUAACUGACACUGAGGGACGAAAGCUAGGGGAGCGAAAGGG
rnacentral:rRNA from 1 species